ensembl:miRNA aca-mir-5447 aca-mir-5447
GACAUCAACAGUAGAUUUACCUGCCUCCACAACAUGUAUGUAAUAUAAUACCAUGUUGUGGAUGCAGGAAGUCUACUGUUGGUAUC